ensembl:lncRNA
ACGGCCUAAUACUCAGCCACCUCACUAUGCACUAAAAAGUCUCAACUCGAACAGGGAUUGUUCAAGUAGUCGCAGCGAGAGUCUUCUCGGAUUGUUUGGCCCGGGCUGUCGCUAGGGGGUGUUACUGGUGGCUUGAGUCAAUAGUAGUGCUCCGACAGCGCCUGCAUUCGUCUCACUUGGACAUUUGCAGUGAUUGGAAGGCUGGCUCACAGAACGGAGACGGUGCGAAGCAGUCCAUUUACGACAGAAGCGCAUCAAAAACAGUGAACGCAUUUCCAAACUGGGUGAUUUGUUAAAGGCAGUUAUCAGCCACGUCUGUCGGCAUUCUCUACAGACUGUUUGGGGAUUUUUAUGUUUAUUCACCGAUGAGAUAUUGGCUCCCUUCUCCCGGCGGUGCUGAAGUGCCGCCCAUGGUGCCUUGCUGAGCGUGACCUUGCUGAGCGUGACCUUGCUGAGCGUGACCUUGCUGAGCGUGACCUUGCUGAGCGUGACCUUGCUGUUCGUGACGGGUCAGUCAUCUUCAGACCAUCAGCACCCUCCAUCUCAGCAGGACCUCCCACGGCCAACUGAGAACUACCCAUCAUGCCUCAGGAACAUGGAUCAACCAAUCAGGUGGACGCCUCAGAUGGUUGAUGGAUUGGUAAAUGCAAACGAAACCCACACAGUCCUCUGCAAACUGCAGUAUUGGGAUUUAUUGCGUUGUGUCGUACCAUUGACACGGAACUUCAACUUAUAGAUAUCUCUGUGGAAGAAUGCAGAUAGAACGCAUUGGACAGAUACAAGUCUGGCUCCAAACUUGGGCUCUGGACUUUCCUGCCCUUAUCUUGUGUGUAAGAUAGCUGAUCUGUCCAACCAGGACCUUGCAAGGAUCUCUUGUAAUUUGUUGUGACAAAAACUGAAUUUGAUGUGGUAAUUCUCAAACAGUGCAGUUUAAAAUGCAGUGAUUUUGAAAAGUUUUUUUUUUUUCUAUCAUAAAUAAUGCAAAAAAUCCCAUGACGUGGCAAUAUUGUGGUAAUACGUGAAAGUUCUUUGAGUCCUUGAAUUUUAUUUGCAAGAUUGCAAAAUUCAGGAAUGAAAUGUCUUGGCUCCCAGUCACCCACCAUGGGCUGACUUCUCAAUUAGCUACUGUAACCAUGCCAACAUGAAACUGAGUGAGACUGAAUUUCAUCAGUUAGCUACUGUAACCUAUGCCAACAUGAAACUGAGUGAAACUGAGUGAGACUGAAUUCCACUGACAUCGGUCUCAAAUGGUGUUCUGUCCGUAAUGGGCCAUUAUAAAAUGUUCCUGUUGGGUUCCAGUCCACAGGGACUUCUGUGCCUCUGAGUAUGUUAGGCAUGUUUACUGUGGGUGAACCUACUAGUGGUUGGCAUGUUUGUGGUAUUUCGGUGUGUGUGUGUGUGUGCGCGCCCGUGUGGGAGAGAGAGGGGGUGAGAAUAUGCUUGACUGGAUGUGUGUGUGUCUGGGUUCCCGCAAGGAUUUUUUUCUUACUAGCCUGGUGUCCAGAAAGAAUUCAUUUUACUGAACGAAUUUGAAACUUACUGCCGCAUGUUUUCAGUAGCAUGUUAGAAACGCAAGUAAUGCCUAAUGUACCCCAUAGGUUGACAUAUGAAAUGUCCUGCUUGAACACCUGAAACUAAGGAACUAGACUAAAGACUGAAGAAUGAAACUUAAGUGUGUCUUAUAAACACACACUUUUCAAGACGAAAAGGAAAACACGCAGGCACUGUUUACGGUUGCUAGCUAGAUCGUUGUGAACCCAUGUUUCUUGCAUAACCUAUGCUGCAAGUUAUAGCCUAGGCUACAAUCACACUCAAUUAGUAUCAAAGCAAUUGCACUACGAGAAAAGAUGAAUUCUGCAUAUUGUUUAUUUGUCAUCAUUUAUCCAAGCAGAAUGUGGUUUGCGUGAACGGAACUACUUCUGUGAAGUGAAUAAGCCUAUACUUACCCUUCUUAACUGCCCCAGUGGGGUAAAUAAGCCUAUACUUCCCCUUCUUAGGUUUGCUGUCAUUAACCGUCACGUUAUAGGCUAUCAAACUAACCCAGAGAGUCACUGAUGUUUCCAGUAGAUUAAGCCCUCCUCGUAGAAAUGUAAAUUUGAUUAGCCAAUCCCCAUGAUGCACCUGGCGGAGCACAGACUGGAGCGGCACGGAGAAUGAAACGUGAUUGGAUGAAAUCCCUCGCACUGACAAAUGGGAAUGGGAAGUGGUCUGAAUUUGUGACUGCAUGAAUAAAAUAACAUAGUAACAAUGAGAUAGGAUUUAUUUGCUUUGGUUAAAACCCAAAUGUCUGGUUUGAGGACGUGUAUAUACAUACAUAUAUGAGAGAGAGGGGGGUGAUGCUAGGCAUGAGAGAGUGUGUGUGUGUGUGUGUGUGUGUGUGUGUGUGUGUGUGUGUGUGUGUGUGUGUGUGUGUGUGUGUGUGUGUGUGUGUGUGUGUGUGUGUGUGUGUGUGUGUGUGUGUGUGUGUGUGUGUGUGUGUGUGUGUGUGUGUGUGUUUCUGUGUUUACCAGCCAAUGCAUUAGCCUUCACUGAUGUAUUAAACAAGAGGGAUAACCUCGACUCCCAGGCAGCCUCCAUGAAUGGCCACUGGCCGUGUUCCCAAGCGCCGGUCUCACGCAGGGCCUCGACACAGGCUGGUCUCACACAGGCUGGUCUCACACACUCAGGGCCUCGCACAGGCUGGUCUCACACAGGCUGGUCUCACACAGGCUGGUCUCACACAGGCUGGGCCUCACACAGUCAGGGUCUCACACAGGCUGGUCUCAGGCAGGCUGGUCUUAUGCAGGGUCUCACACAGGCUGGUCUCACACAGGCUGGUCUCACACAGGCCCCUCUGUCUGUCCCCUGUGCUCCUGCUUCUCUCUCUCCGUCACCGUUUCCUUCACGGCCCGCUCUCGGCCUGCUCAGAGAGCCAGCGUGGAAAAUCUCCCUCAUCAGAUUACAGUAUAUGUGGAGCACACACAGUCUGACCGGCACACUUAAUCAGAACAGUUUGGGAAUCAACGUAAAGCUAGCUUAUUUUUCUAACAUAGUGUGUGUUGUAAAUGGAGAGAAAUCAAAUGUUCUGAUUGAUACGACUGCAAUUUCUUCCUCUGUAGAUUUUUUUUUAGAUCUAAGCACAUUACGUUAUCCGAGAUAAAAGCUGACACAUUUAGUUGUUUGUAUAGUCGUUUGGUGUGCCCCAGACGGCAGACUAGGCCUGCAUUUGAAGUUUAAUUGCUGGAUCCGGGAGCGCGACUCCAAAGUGAUCAUUGGCUCCAGCAAGCGAAACACACCCAAAAAGCACAGCGCGUGGCCCCGGCUGAUAUCAAGAUCAAGCUAAUACCAGAGGAUUGCGGAGAGACUAUAUACAGUGUGUCAGUCAGUCCCUACACCAUUGCAGUGCCCUGGUGUUGUUAUCUCACCGAGUCCUGCUGAAGCCCAGUGGUGGUGGUAUACAGUAAGCAGCUGAUAUGGUGCCUGGUGUUUAGAGCUUGUUGUUGUUGUUGUUGUGAUGAAUAUAUUCAAUUUACCCAUGCUGUAAAGCAG